CACAUGCAGUCGAGGGGCAUCAGGGUGUAGCAAUACACCGCUGGCGACCGGCGCACGGGUGAGUAACACGUAUCCAACCUGCCCUUUACUCGGGGAUAGCCUUUCGAAAGAAAGAUUAAUACCCGAUGGUAUAACAUGACCUCCUGGUUUUGUUAUUAAAGAAUUUCGGUAGAGGAUGGGGAUGCGUUCCAUUAGGCAGUUGGCGGGGUAACGGCCCACCAAACCUUCGAUGGAUAGGGGUUCUGAGAGGAAGGUCCCCCACAUUGGAACUGAGACACGGUCCAAACUCCUACGGGAGGCAGCAGUGAGGAAUAUUGGUCAAUGGGCGAGAGCCUGAACCAGCCAAGUAGCGUGAAGGAUGACCGCCCUAUGGGUUGUAAACUUCUUUUAUAUGGGAAUAAAGGGUGCCACGUGUGGCAUUUUGUAUGUACCAUAUGAAUAAGGAUCGGCUAACUCCGUGCCAGCAGCCGCGGUAAUACGGAGGAUCCGAGCGUUAUCCGGAUUUAUUGGGUUUAAAGGGAGCGUAGGUGGACAUGUAAGUCAGUUGUGAAAGUUUGCGGCUCAACCGUAAAAUUGCAGUUGAAACUGCGUGUCUUGAGUACAGUAGAGGUGGGCGGAAUUCGUGGUGUA
rnacentral:rRNA from 1 species